CUACGGGUCGCUGCAGUGGGGAAUAUUGCACAAUGGGCGCAAGCCUGAUGCAGCCAUGCCGCGUGUAUGAAGAAGGCCUUCGGGUUGUAAAGUACUUUCAGCGGGGAGGAAGGGAGUAAAGUUAAUACCUUUGCUCAUUGACGUUACCCGCAGAAGAAGCACCGGCUAACUCCGUGCCAGCAGCCGCGGUAAAUACGGAGGGUGCAAGCGUUAAUCGGAAUUACUGGGCGUAAAGCGCACGCAGGCGGUUUGUUAAGUCAGAUGUGAAAUCCCCGGGCUCAACCUGGGAACUGCAUCUGAUACUGGCAAGCUUGAGUCUCGUAGAGGGGGGUAGAAUUCCAGGUGUAGCGGUGAAAUGCGUAGAGAUCUGGAGGAAUACCGGUGGCGAAGGCGGCCCCCUGGACGAAGACUGACGCUCAGGUGCGAAAGCGUGGGGGGCAAACAGGAUUAGAUACCCUAGUAGUC
rnacentral:rRNA from 1 species